rnacentral:rRNA from 1 species
ACUCCUACGGGAGGCAGCAGUGGGGAAUCUUGGACAAUGGGGGCAACCCUGAUCCAGCCAUGCCGCGUGAGUGAUGAAGGCCUUAGGGUCGUAAAGCUCUUUCGCCUGUGAUGAUAAUGACAGUAGCAGGUAAAGAAACCCCGGCUAACUCCGUGCCAGCAGCCGCGGUAAUACGGAGGGGUUAGCGUUGUUCGGAAUUACUGGGCGUAAAGCGCGCGUAGGCGGAUUAGUCAGUUAGAGGUGAAAUCCCAGGGCUCAACCCUGGAACUGCCUUUAAUACUGCUAGUCUUGAGUUCGAGAGAGGUGAGUGGAAUUCCGAGUGUAGAGGUGAAAUUCGUAGAUAUUCGGAGGAACACCAGUGGCGAAGGCGGCUCACUGGCUCGAUACUGACGCUGAGGUGCGAAAGUGUGGGAGCAAACAGGAUUAGAUACCCUGGUAGGAUAGCG